rnacentral:rRNA from 1 species
UACGAAGGGGGCUAGCGUUGCUUGGAAUCACUGGGCGUAAAGGGUGCGUAGGCGGGUCUUUAAGUCAGGGGUGAAAUCCUGGAGCUCAACUCCAGAACUGCCUUUGAUACUGGAAGAUCUUGAGUUCGGGAGAGGUGAGUGGAACUGCGAGUGUAGAGGUGAAAUUCGUAGAUAUUCGCAAGAACACCAGUGGCGAAGGCGGCUCACUGGCCCGAUACUGACGCUGAGGCACGAAAGCGUGGGGAGCAAACAGGG